CCUACGGGAGGCAGCAGUGGGGAAUUUUGGACAAUGGGCGCAAGCCUGAUCCAGCAAUGCCGCGUGCAGGAUGAAGGCCUUCGGGUUGUAAACUGCUUUUGUACGGAACGAAACGGUCUGCUUUAAUAAAGUGGGCUAAUGACGGUACCGUAAGAAUAAGCACCGGCUAACUACGUGCCAGCAGCCGCGGUAAUACGUAGGGUGCGAGCGUUAAUCGGAAUUACUGGGCGUAAAGCGUGCGCAGGCGGUUAUAUAAGACAGAUGUGAAAUCCCCGGGCUCAACCUGGGACCUGCAUUUGUGACUGUAUAGCUAGAGUACGGUAGAGGGGGAUGGAAUUCCGCGUGUAGCAGUGAAAUGCGUAGAUAUGCGGAGGAACACCGAUGGCGAAGGCAAUCCCCUGGACCUGUACUGACGCUCAUGCACGAAAGCGUGGGGAGCAAACAGGAUUAGAUACCCUGGUAGUCCACGCCCUAAACGAUGUCAACUGGUUGUUGGGUCUUCACUGACUCAGUAAUGAAGCUAACGCGUGAAGUUGACCGCCUGGGGAGUACGGCCGCAAGGUUGAAACUCAAAUGAAUUGACGG
rnacentral:rRNA from 1 species